GUGCUUGCUUCGGCAGCACAUAUACUAAAAUUGGGAUGAUACAGAGAAGAUUAGCAUGGCCCCUGAAAAAAAACAAAACAAAACAAGAAAUGGGAUGAUAGUGGU
ensembl:snRNA U6 U6 spliceosomal RNA